UCCUGCCAAGGAAGCACACUAUGGUCAUAGAUUAAGCCAUGCAAGUGUAAGUUCAGGUAACUAAACUGCGAAUAGCUCAUUAACACACUCAUAAUCUACUUGGAAACAAUUUUUUAAAAAUUUUAAAUGGAUAGCAGGAGUAAUUCUCGUGCUAAUACAUGAAAUUUUAAUAAUCUUAAAUUAAAUCAGAUUAUUUUUAAUACCUUUUAAUAGGUAAUCCAAUCGAAUGAGUGACCUAUCAGGCCAGUACUUAGGGUCUUUACCUAAGUAAGCUAUCACGGGUAACGGGCGGUUACCGUCGUACUGCCGGAGAAGGCGCCUGAGAGAUAGCGACUAUAUCCACGGGUAGCAGCAGGCGCGAAACUUACCCACUCGAGACUAUCGGAGGUGGUAAUGACCAGUUAUAAUUAAGGAAUUUUCCUUAUUAUAUAGGAAUAUACUUUUCCAGUAUAUUGUAACCUAGCAGAGGGCCAGUCUGGUGCCAGCAGCUGCGGUAAUUCCAGCUCUGCAAGUUUGCUCCCAUAUUGUUGUAGUUAAAACGCUCGUAGUCUGAAUUAUUUUAAUUUAAAUUUUUUAAAUUAAAAUUUAGUUUUUAUUUUAUAAAAACGUUCACUGUGAACAAAUCAGAACGCUUAAAGUAAUUUUCUUUAUUGAAUGAUUUAGCGCAGUAUGAAAUUUUUACUUUUUAAAUUUUAAUUAAUUUAACAAGUAAUAUCAAAGAGAAUAAUCGGGGAUAGAUCUAUUUCAUGGCGAACAGCGAAAUGUUUUGACCCAUGAGAGAGAAACGAAGGCGAAAGCAUCUAUCAAGUGUAUUUCUAUCGAUCAAGGGCGAGAGUAGGAGUAUCCAACCGGAUCAGAGACCCGGGUAGUUCCUACCUUAAACUAUGCCGACAAGGUUUUGUUUUUUUUAAUAAAAGCAGUACCAUAGGAGAAAUCAUAGUUCAUGGGCUCUGGGGGAACUACGACCGCAAGGCUGAAACUUGAAGGAAUUGACGGAAGGGCACACCAGGGGUGGAGCUUGUGGCUUAAUUUGAAUCAACACGGGAAAACUUACCAGGACCAGAUAUUUUUAAUGACUGAUCAGGCUAUAGGUCUUUCAGGAUAUGAUUUUUGGUGGUGCAUGGCCGUUGGUGGUGCGUGGGUUGACCUGUCUAGCGUUGAUUCAGAUAACGAGCGAGAUUAUCACCAAUUAAAUAUAUAAAUAUUUUUAU
rnacentral:rRNA from 1 species